UUACUUACCUGGCAGGGGAGAUAGAGAUCAUGAAGGUGGUUUUCCCGGGUAAGGGGCAUCCCAUUGCACUCUGGACUGUGUUACCCCUGACGAUUCCCCAAUGUGAGAAACAAUGACUGCAAUAAUUUGUGGUGAGUGUGGGAAACUGUGGUGAGCUUCACA
rnacentral:snRNA from 1 species